UACGGGGGGGGCAAGCGUUGUUCGGAAUUACUGGGCGUAAAGGGCUCGUAGGCGGCCAACUAAGUCAGACGUGAAAUCCCUCGGCUUAACCGGGGAACUGCGUCUGAUACUGGAUGGCUUGAGUUUGGGAGAGGGAUGCGGAAUUCCAGGUGUAGCGGUGAAAUGCGUAGAUAUCUGGGGGAACACCGGUGGCGAAGGCGGCAUCCUGGACCAACACUGACGCUGAGUGAGCGAAAGCCAGGGGAGCAAACGGG
rnacentral:rRNA from 1 species